AGUGGGGAAUCUUCCGCAAUGGACGGAAGUCUGACGGAGCAACGCCGCGUGGGUGAUGAAGGUUUUCGGAUUGUAAAGCCCUGUCUGGAGGGAAGAAAUAUUGACGGUACCUCCGGAGGAAGCCCCGGCUAACUACGUGCCAGCAGCCGCGGUAAUACGUAGGGGGCAAGCGUUGUCCGGAAUUACUGGGCGUAAAGAGCACGUAGGCGGUCUUUUAAGUCAGAUGUGAAAUAUGCCGGCUCAACCGGGAGGGUGCAUUUGAUACUGGGAGACUAGAGUGCAGGAGAGGAAAGUGGAAUUCCUAGUGUAGCGGUGAAAUGCGUAGAUAUUAGGAGGAACACCAGUGGCGAAGGCGGCUUUCUGGACUGUAACUGACGCUGAGGUGCGAAAGCCAGGGGAGCAAACGGGAUUAGAUACCCCGGUAGUCCUGGCCGUAAACGAUGGGUACUAGGUGUAGGAGGUAUCGACCCCUUCUGUGCCGCAGUUAACACAAUAAGUACCCCGCCUGGGGAGUACGGCCGCAAGGCUG
rnacentral:rRNA from 1 species